UUGUUAUAAUUUAAGUUACUGUAUAUAUGACAGCAUUGUUGAAUUUGCUUCGUUUAAAAAGGGUUGUCAUGUAAUCACAUACCUUGAAGAAACAAAGGAACUUUGGUUUUGUUUUGACUUCCCUUAUAUCUUGUAUCCUCGACUUUUGGCUUUCCCUCAUCUUUGUGUCUGAUUCUGAUAGUAGCUGUUGACAUUAUAGUUGAGCAGGCACUUUGUUAACUCUAGAGAACCUCAGGCAUUCGAAUGUCAUCCAUAUCAACUUCCGAUGCCAGUUUCUGCGCCUACCAUGGUGACCACGGGUAACGGGGAAUCAGGGUUCCAUUCCGUACAGGGACCCUGAGAAACGGCUACCACAUGCAAGGAAGGCAGCAGGCACGCAAAUGACCCACAUCCGACGCGGGAAGGUAGUGAAGACAA